CCCUUAGAUGUCCUGGGCCGCACGCGCGCUACACUGAGUGUCUGAGAUACGAGUCUGCCUGGUCCGGCAAGGUCUAGGUAAUCGCUAAAAGACACAUCAUGCUUGGGAUAGAUUAUUGCAAAUAUUAAUCUUGAACGAGGAAUUCCUAGUAAGCGCAAGUCAACAGCUUGCGUUGAUUACGUCCCUGCCCUUUGUACACACCGCCCGUCGCUACUACUGAUUGGAUGUUUAAGCGAGGUUCUCAAACUGCUAGCGACUUAGCUUCGGUGAGGUCGCAGUGUGGGAAGUGAACCUAGCUUUGGUGUCUAGAGGAAGUAAAAGUCGUAACA
rnacentral:rRNA from 1 species